rnacentral:rRNA from 1 species
UGCUGGAGGUAUCAGAAGUGCGAAUGCUGACAUAAGUAACGAUAAAGCGGGUGAAAAGCCCGCUCGCCGGAAGACCAAGGGUUCCUGUCCAACGUUAAUCGGGGCAGGGUGAGUCGACCCCUAAGGCGAGGCCGAAAGGCGUAGUCGAUGGGAAACGGGUUAAUAUUCCCGUACUUGGUGUUACUGCGAAGGGGGGACGGAGAAGGCUAUGUUGGCCGGGCGACGGUUGUCCCGGUUUAAGCGUGUAGGCUGGUUUUCCAGGCAAAUCCGGAAAAUCAAGGCUGAGGCGUGACGACGAGGCACUACGGUGCUGAAGCAACAAAUGCCCUGCUUCCAGGAAAAGCCUCUAAGCAUCAGGUAACAUCAAAUCGUACCCCAAACCGACACAGGUGGUCAGGUAGAGAAUACCAAGGCGCUUGAGAGAACUCGGGUGAAGGAACUAGGCAAAAUGGUGCCGUAACUUCGGGAGAAGGCACGCUGACACGUAGGUGAAGUGAUUUACUCAUGGAGCUGAAGUCAGUCGAAGAUACCAGCUGGCUGCAACUGUUUAUUAAAAACACAGCACUGUGCAAACACGAAAGUGGACGUAUACGGUGUGACGCCUGCCCGGUGCCGGAAGGUUAAUUGAUGGGGUCAGCGCAAGCGAAGCUCCUGAUCGAAGCCCCGGUAAACGGCGGCCGUAACUAUAACGGUCCUAAGGUAGCGAAAUUCCUUGUCGGGUAAGUUCCGACCUGCACGAAUGGCGUAAUGAUGGCCAGGCUGUCUCCACCCGAGACUCAGUGAAAUUGAACUCGCUGUGAAGAUGCAGUGUACCCGCGGCAAGACGGAAAGACCCCGUGAACCUUUACUAUAGCUUGACACUGAACAUUGAGCCUUGAUGUGUAGGAUAGGUGGGAGGCUUUGAAGUGUGGACGCCAGUCUGCAUGGAGCCGACCUUGAAAUACCACCCUUUAAUGUUUGAUGUUCUAACGUGGACCCGUAAUCCGGGUUGCGGACAGUGUCUGGUGGGUAGUUUGACUGGGGCGGUCUCCUCCUAAAGAGUAACGGAGGAGCACGAAGGUUGGCUAAUCCUGGUCGGACAUCAGGAGGUUAGUGCAAUGGCAUAAGCCAGCUUGACUGCGAGCGUGACGGCGCGAGCAGGUGCGAAAGCAGGUCAUAGUGAUCCGGUGGUUCUGAAUGGAAGGGCCAUCGCUCAACGGAUAAAAGGUACUCCGGGGAUAACAGGCUGAUACCGCCCAAGAGUUCAUAUCGACGGCGGUGUUUGGCACCUCGAUGUCGGCUCAUCACAUCCUGGGGCUGAAGUAGGUCCCAAGGGUAUGGCUGUUCGCCAUUUAAAGUGGUACGCGAGCUGGGUUUAGAACGUCGUGAGACAGUUCGGUCCCUAUCUGCCGUGGGCGCUGGAGAACUGAGGGGGGCUGCUCCUAGUACGAGAGGACCGGAGUGGACGCAUCACUGGUGUUCGGGUUGUCAUGCCAAUGGCACUGCCCGGUAGCUAAAUGCGGAAGAGAUAAGUGCUGAAAGCAUCUAAGCACGAAACUUGCCCCGAGAUGAGUUCUCCCUGAGACUUAGAGUCUCCUGAAGGAACGUUGAAGACGACGACGUUGAUAGGCCGGGUGUGUAAGCGCAGCGAUGCGUUGAGCUAACCGGUACUAAUGAACCGUGAGGCUUAACCUUACAACGCCGAAG